AAAUGAAAUCCAACACCACAGCCACAAAGAGCGUCUUAGAAUGAGUAAAACUGCUAAGAUUGGUUACUAAAUGUUGUAAAAUGAGGAAAAUGCAGCCCUGUGAAGUUCGCAAAUUUUGUAUAUAAAAAUAACCCUUUUUGAGAAGAAAGUGGUUAUUUUUACCGCCCGUAACACAAAUAUAUACAAAAUUUGCGAACUUCACAGGGCUAUAUUUUCUUCACUUUACAACAUUUAGCAACCAAACUUUGUAGUUUUACUCAUUCUAAGACGCUCUUUCUAGCCGUGGUGUUGGAUUUCGUUC